GCCUUCACUUAGUUUCAGGAAUGAAUAACCAAGGAGUAACCUAUGCAGAACUGAAUCUACCUAAGAAAUCAAAAGGACGGCAAGUAAAACCCAAGGGCACUAAAAUCUCAGAACCCCAGCAGGAAAUAACUUAUGCAGACUUAAAACUUCGAAAUGUUUCUCAGGAUCUUCCAGGGAAAGACAAGCGCAACCACUGUAAAGGCUUAGCAGCACCUCCGGAGAAGCUCAUUGCUGGGAUUUUGGGACUCACCUGCCUUGUCUUGAUAGGCACUAUUGUGACCCUGUGGGUUAUUUCCAUUACAGGGACACAGAAAAACAACUCAUCAUUAACAACACAAAAAGCUAAUUUACCAGCUAAUUCUUCCUUAGAAUGUCAUUAUGGCACUUGUCCAAAGGAUUCAUUUACAUACUCCAAAAGCUGCUAUUUUUCCAGUAAUGAAAAAAAAACCUGGAAUGAGAGCGUGAAGGCCUGUGCUUCUAAGAAAUCUCACCUGCUCUACAUAGAUCAUGAAAAAGAAAUGGAAUUUCUGAAAUCCAUGGAACUUCUCUCAUGGGUGGGAGUCUCCCGUGAAAGCAGCAACCAGCCAUGGAAGGCAAUAAAUGGUUCAGUUUUCAAACAAAACGUAACUGAUUUAUCAACUGGCAUCAACAAUAACUGUAUUAUGUUAACCUCCUCUGGUCUCAGAGCAGAUCUUUGUGAAUAUCGGAGUGUGUAUUAUUGCAAGCAGAGGCUUUAGGUCAAGAAUGACAGAGUUUGGAUUCUGUUGGGAGACUUUAUAUUUCAUGAAAUGAAAACAAUAUGAUGAUUACAAUUAUUUUUUUAAGUAAUGUUGAAAAACAGUGGUAUAUUCAUCAAAAAGUGCAGAUAUCAUUACUGUUGUGUCUGGAUAUUUUUUGCUCAGUCUUAUAUUUGUGACAUCCAACCUUUGUAAAAGGUCAUACUUGUGUGAGUUUGUUUGUAUGAAGUAUCAAAAAAUGGCAAACUCACAGAUAUAGAAAAUAGGUUGGUGAUUGCUGGGGACUGAGAGGUAAGAAGAGGAAAUGACCAUCAACUGGUUUUGUGUUUCAUUUUGGGAUGAUGAAAGUUUUCUAAUUAUUGAGAGAAGUAAUGGUUAAGAGCUGUAAAUAUUGUGAAUAUUCUAAAAUAUUUGAUUUUUGCUCUCUAAAGAGAUGAGUUUUAUGUUUUGUAUAUUAUUCAAUUUCAAACAAUAAAGCUGCUGUCAAAUAACUUAUAAAAACAUGGCUUAUGUUUGAAACUCCAUUUUCAUUUUUAAAGUGAUAUGCAGACAUUAAACAACCAUUUUUUUGUUGGCCUUUUUUUAUCUAAAUCUAGUCUUACUUCCUACAACUUGCUUCCUGAAAGUAUACAUGUUGCUUUGUUUCUAUAACUGUUUAGAUCUCUCUACAAUGCUUAUUAUUCCAUCCACAGCCAGUUUUAUCCAUUCAUGCAUUAUGUCAUUCUCAUUUUAUUUUCUAUUGUGUUCUGUAUUUUUAUAGACAUCUUCUGGUAAUAUAGGUAUUUCAUAGUCAUGCUUUUGUAAUGGUAUUCUUAUCUUGAAAGUCCCCUUAGUAAUUUUUGUUGUUAUAAACAGAAAUUACAUGUGGUGUCCGCACAUAAAUUUUAUAUCCUGCAGUUUCAUGGGCUAUAUGUAUUAUUUGUAUCAUUUCAAAUAUUCAUAUAACAGGAUAGAACACUUAAUAUCAACUGCUAUUUCAUCUAUAAAUAAUCACACAUUUGUUACUUCUUUAUAAAUGCAAGUACUUUGUUUUUGACUUAUAGGCCUGGGUUUUAUUUCUUUCUUUCUUUUUUAAUGAUUUAUUUAUUUAUUUAUACAAGCACUGGGUACUGUCAGAAGCGCGGGAGGGUGAGAGAAUUCACCAGAGCCAGAGCGGGGAACUGAACAGGCAGACCGACGAAAUACACUGCUGAGGGGAGCAGCUGGCGCGGCAGAAGAGGUCUGUGCGCCAUGUGGGACCCUUGCUGGUGGCUGGGGAUCGAACCAGCGCUUCAGAGGCCUCGGGCAGCUUUGCAACCCAGCUCUCAACUGCUGUGCCACCAGGGGAGGCCCUUGGGUUUUAUUUCUAAUGUUGAACAGAAGGCACAGUGAAGGUCUACCUGUGUCUUUAAUAACUUCAGAGAAACAAUUUUGGUAUUUCACUUCACUGUGAGACUUAUUUUAAUUUUUCCAACAUGUUUUCCCUAAUAAAUCCAAUUCUAUAAUAUUCCUCUUUUUAUGAUCAUUUUAUAGUCAAUUGAUGUUUUCUUUUGUUAUUUUUCAUCAUAGGAAUGAGUUAUUGUCUCUCCAUGUUCAUGAAGCAAAAUAUCUUUACUUUUUUAGAAAUGUCAAACAUCUUUUGGCAAGGACCAUGCUACUGGUGUCCUCUGUCAAAGGUCCAGGCAUGGGGCAGAUUCCUGAAGUCAGGAAUCUCCUUAGCUGACACCUGCUAAAUUCUUCUCAUUUGUUUAUGGCUGGCUUCUACUGAAUGUGGCAAUUGUUAAAAUAUGAAUGUAGAAGUAAAACUGCAAAUGCUGUAUGACCAAAUACUAAAUAACUAAAUUGACAACAAUGGCACUGCAUGAUAUAAACAGUACAUUUUGAAGCAAUUAGUAUUUUUCUGCUUGAAGGCAGUGAUUCAGAAUUUGGUUUCAUUGUAACAAGUGGUAUGCCACACUUAAAAUCUUCUGAGAACUAAAGGUUGUAAACAUUCCUGGCCAAGUCUUUGAUGUAGAAUUGUGGUCUUUUAAGACAGUGACCAUCUGGAGAGUUUUAAAGUUAGAGAUAGCAGUUAAAGUUAGAAGCAGCAGUUAAUUGACAAAAUAAUCAGGGAAUUAACAGGUGAAUAUAUAGCCUUGAGAAAGUAAAAGGAGUUCCCCCCCCCUUUUUUUUUUCUUUUGAAGCUUGGGGUUAGAUAAGGGUUAGUGCAACUUAGGUGGCACUGGGAUUCUUUGGGUUUUUUAAUAUUUUUACUACUUUUAUUAAAUUAUAAUAGAUUAGUUAUAGGAAUAAGAAUUUUUUUUUUAUUUUAGCAGUAAUUGGACUUGAUUACCAAUAUAUAAGGUGAUUAUAUUUUUUAAUGUUUAAGAUUUAGGAAUUUUAUAAAUUUUGAUUAAUUAGUAAUUUAGCUGUAAUAAAGGAAUUAAGUUUUAGUCAUAUAAGUUUUUGUUACUUUGCUGUUUUAUAGCAUUAACAGAAUGAUUACUGGGCAGUGGAAAUUAAAUGAUUGUUAGUGGACAUUUUUUGUGGUAACUGUAUGUAGAACUAAGUGAAAUUGCUGUCAUCACCUCAGCAAGGGUCCAAGGUCCCCAGGCUGGUUUGGCUAGUCCUUUUUUAUACUUGAAAAUACUUGCUUAUGUACUCCCAUGGGUUGCUAGCUGGAGAUGUAUAAAUAAAGAAUGCUGAGACCCUCUGCAGGAUGAUACUUGCACCCUGAUCAAGGGUCAGUGUCUCCUCAUUCCCUUCCCCCUCAACCCCUCAGAUUCAUCCACGCCAUCUCACCCUUGCAGGAAUCCCUGAGAAGACAGUUUGCCAGAGCUGGCUUCUGGCAAUCUUUCAUUUCUGAAAUAAAACCACAAUGAUCAUUCUCUUUUGUUGUGUAUUAAAAUGCAGCGCUCUCUUGAGAAUGGCCCAUAUAAAAAAGAUUAGCAACACAGGUGUUGAUGUGAGUGUGUUAGGGCAAUCUUGUACAUUUUUGGUAGAAUAUAAAUUGGUUGAGUCCCUAUUCCUCAGGGAUCACGAAUAGACCUUCUGAAUGAUUCUGCAAUUCCACUCCUCAAUAUCUACUGGAAGGAUUAAAAAUCACUAAUUUGAAGGGAUAUAUAACUCCUAUGACCAUUGAGCAGUAUUUCCGUAGCUAGGUUAUGGAAACAACCUAAGUCUUCAAUGGAAGAUGAGUGUUUUAAGAAGCUGUCUAUAUACACAAUGGAAUACUACUCAGCUAUAAAAAAAAAUGAAUCCUGCCAUUUGGAACAAAUGAAUGGAACUAGAGUUGAUGAUGGUAAGUGAAAUAACUCAGAAAGAGAUAAGUGCCACAUAAUUUCACUCAUAUUUAGAAUAUGAAGACACAAUGCAACAAGUAAACCAAAAUUAGGAAAAAAAAAAAAAUCAAACUCAGAAAAUAAUGCAGAAGUGAGGCUACCUACCUGAAAAGGAUAGUGGGAAUGCGGGAUGGAGGGCAGGUGGGGAAGGGAAGCAAUGAACAUGGUGGAGGAUAGUGUGUACUUCAAUAAUGGACAUGGUAAGGUUACUUACUUCUGUGAAAGCAUGAACUUAUACCCUAAAACCAUGUACAGUGUCAUCAAUCAAUGUUACUUAACUGAAGUGAUAUAAAAAUUGAAUAAAACAAACUGGCAGACAUGUUUGAUUGAGGUGUUUUUCUUCAGACAUGUCAUUAAGACAGUAGGCUAUAUUUUCUUAGCAAGAUCUAAGUACUCAGCACUUGUGAUUGAGAUGGAAGCACUUUAACAGCACACUGUCAGGUCAUUUGUAUUCUGACAUAUAUUUGAAGAGGAACAUAAUUUCUCAGCACAUUUCAAAAUGGGUAAACUACUUAGCAUCCUAUGAGCACAUAUGGCUCCUAUCCUCUGUGACUGCAUCAACUGUCUUUAUCCCAGUGUUAGACUUUCCUGUUGAAAUUUUAAGUGACACUGAUAAGAAAUCUACUUUUUCUGAACUUGCCUCACUCUGAACCUUCACAGGAGAGUCUGUGCAAAGCACAAGCAUUAUUUCUUUUGUUUCCAAGAGUAACCAGGUCUCCCGCGAGAGGAUACUCUACUCUUUGGCCAGCAGAAGCAUCUCAGUUUUAUCUGAAAUCCCACAGGCAUCAGAGUGCAGUCCCAUGUGUUCUGUGACAUGACGCAGCUGCGAGAGGCACAGCCAAAGUGAACACCACCCACAAUUGGUUCUGGACUCAAGAGGAAAACCAAUGAAAGACUUGCCAUUACCUCUAGGGACGGUUGCUGCUGAGGUCCCGGGGGUCAUCUGCCUCAUUUUGGUGGCCACUGCAGGAAAGACCAGAGUCCUUAUUCCCUGGACAGGAAGGCCACUGUACAGGUUUCAACGAUUGGAGCCGACCGUCGUAAAGGAGAGUCCUGGAGCCCUCCACUACUCCCUCCUGCCUCUCUCCAGCUUCUCUCCUGCUUCUGCUUCUCUUGGUGACUAUUUGAAUACUCCUCCCUUGGCCCAGAGAAGUAAAUAAGACAGUUUGCAACAAUCUAACAGCAGUAGGUGCCCAUCAGGCAGGGCAAUCCUAAUGGUGGGAGGGCAGAAAAGCCUGAAACCAUUUACCUUACAUGAUUGAUUUGCAAACAUAUUUGCAAAUGUGCAGAAGUUAUGUCUCCCAAACAGAAAAUGUAAUGUUAUUAGUCACCACUAUGAUUAACUCAUGCAGGUAUAAUCUUUUCACUCUUUUAAAAAAAUA